rnacentral:rRNA from 1 species
CCAACCCUUGUCAAUAUUACCACGUUGCUUUGGCGGGCCCGUCUUUAACUGGACCGUCGGGGAUUUCCUCGUCCCUGGCCCGCGCCCGCCAGUAGCCCCCCACAAAAAUUCUUUCAACAGUGAUGUCUAAGUGUUAACAAGAAUAUAACCAAAACUUUUCAACAACGGAUCUCUUGGUUCUGGCAUCGAUGAAGAACGCAGCGAAAUGCGAUAAGUAAUGCGAAUUGCAGAAUUCCGUGAGUCAUCGAAUCUUUGAACGCACAUUGCGCCCUUUGGUAUUCCGAAGGGCAUGCCUGUUCGAGCGUCAUUAUCAACCCUCAAGCCCGGCUUGUUUGUUGGACCCCGCACCGAUCUUUAACCGUCGGUGGGUCCGAAAGAUAAUGGCAGAGUCGGUCAGACCUUGGAUGCAGCGAGCUCUAUUUUCAGCACGCAUCACGGUGGUCCUCCGGGCUCGGUCUUAAACCGGAUUUUCAAUCCACUUUAAUGGUUGACCUCGGAUCAGGUAGGGAUACCCGCUGAACUUAA